CUCCCGCCCCAACUAGCAAAAUCCCGUCCCGCCACCUCUCCCGAAUCCGUGACGGGUUAAAAAAUACAUUUCAUAAUCCGCCCCGCCUCGUAACCCGCCUCCCGCCGGCUCCCCGAAUCCGCCCCGCCAACUAAUAUUUUUUAUAAAAUUACAAUAUUAUUAAUAGUUUAUAAAAUAUAAAUUAAUAAUUUUUAAUAAUAUUAUAUAUAUAAUUUAACAAUAUCAAUUAUAAAAAUCAAAAAUAUCAAUCACAAUUCAAAACAAAAUUCAUAAGUUUCAAAUACAUUAGAAAUGAGAAUACUAAUUUAUUUGUAUUUUGAACUUUUUUAUAAAUAUAUUUUUUUAAGAAUAUUUUUUUAAAAUAUAAAUAAUUUUCAGG
rnacentral:lncRNA from 1 species